rnacentral:tRNA from 1 species
AAGGAUAUAGCUCAGCAGUACAGCACUGGCCUGGCAAGCAUGAGGUCCUGAGUUUGAUCCUCGGUACCCCUU